GAUGAACGCUGGCGGUGUGCCUAAUACAUGCAAGUCGAGCGAACAGACGAGGAGCUUGCUCCUCUGACGUUAGCGGCGGACUGGUGAGUAACACGUGGAUAACCUACCUAUAAGACUGGGAUAACUUCGGGAAACCGGAGCUAAUACCGGAUAAUAUAUUGAACCGCAUGGUUCAAUAGUGAAAGACGGUUUUGCUGUCACUUAUAGAUGGAUCCGCGCCGCAUUAGCUAGUUGGUAAGGUAACGGCUUACCAAGGCGACGAUGCGUAGCCGACCUGAGAGGGUGAUCGGCCACACUGGAACUGAGACACGGUCCAGACUCCUACGGGAGGCAGCAGUAGGGAAUCUUCCGCAAUGGGCGAAAGCCUGACGGAGCAACGCCGCGUGAGUGAUGAAGGUCUUCGGAUCGUAAAACUCUGUUAUUAGGGAAGAACAAAUGUGUAAGUAACUAUGCACGUCUUGACGGUACCUAAUCAGAAAGCCACGGCUAACUACGUG
rnacentral:rRNA from 1 species